rnacentral:rRNA from 1 species
UACGGAGGGUGCAAGCGUUGUCCGGAAUCACUGGGCGUAAAGGGCGCGUAGGCGGCUCAUGAAGGCUGUGGUGAAAGUCCGGGGCUCAACCUCGGAUCGGCCGUGGCGACUCGUGGGCUGGAGCACUGUAGAGGCGGGUGGAAUUCCGGGUGUAGCGGUGGAAUGCGUAGAGAUCCGGAAGAACACCGGUGGCGAAGGCGGUCUGCUGGGCAGUUGCUGGACACUGAGGAGCGAAAGCGUGGGGAGCAAACAGG